UCGUAUACGAGACCGGGGUCUCAGCAUGUGUUGCUGAGGCCUCGUUUCAAGUGUACGAAG
rnacentral:pre_miRNA from 1 species